CCCCCUCACAGAGACCCCACACACAGCUCCCUCCCCUCAGAGCCUCCUCCACAGCUCCUUUGCCUCAGAGACCCCCUCACAGAUUCCCCUCACAGAGACCCUCACACAGCUCCCUCCCCACCACCCCCUGCCAGCGCUGGACACCGGCACUUGACACGGACAGGAACUGAAAGAUAUGAUUCACAAUCAAAAAUCCUUGAGGGACUUGGAUAUGGGCCCAGAGCAACUGGGAAGACAAAUAAUAGUGUGAGAGCAGUGUUGGAAGCAAUUCUGGCAUCACGACUCCCUGGAGCCUGCAAAACUCAUGUACAUUUGACUUCUUCAGAGGAAUUUGGUGUGAUACCUUUCAAUCUGGUUGAGGCAGGCAUUUUUCAUACAAAAUCAGCAUGACUCCCUACUGCUUUCAGCCAGGAUCUCUGACAAACUCUCAGCACACAGAUAACUGUUGAAGAGACUAGGCAAGUUGUUGAAUGGACAAGAGGUAACACAAGGAAGAGAAACAGGGAGAAAAAAGGAGUGGACAAACACAAUAGAUGCAAACCCAGGACGUGAAGUAGUCUGAGGUAUGGCUUUUGAGCUUCUCUGUUCAGAGGCCAUCAUCUGCUGCUGCUGGCUUCUCCGUGGCUCGGCUGCCCUCUCUCUGCUGCAGCCAGGGCUGCACUGUGGCCCAAGCUCUGGGAACGGUCAUGCUUGGCCACAAUACCACAGCACACAGCAGGAAAGGGGCUUAAGGGAUAGACUGGAAAGCCAGAAAACUUCAGAAGAGCAAAGGAAUAUUAGAUGCUUCAGCUCCUUCAUUUUUAAGCAUUUAUGUCGGCAGGCACAUGAAGUUACAAAUCCUCAAGUGCCCCAUUUUUCUAAUGAAGAAAAAAAAACUAAACAAGCACUGGCCUGAGACAGGGAGUUUACACCAAUUUUGUACUCCACCAUUUAUUAAAACUGGUGACACUUAGCAUUAUGCAGUCCCUUUCCCCGGAGAAAAUUUAUUUUAUGUGAGGCACUGCUGCAAAGUAAAAACAAACUCAAAUUGCUUCUUACAAAUGCAAUAUGUUCUUUGGCAGGUCAGUGGAAGGAUUAACUCAGCUGACAGGAAAGAGUUAAGGGUUUGAACCCACCAGCUUGUGUCUGGGCAGCUUCCUCAGCCUUUUGCAAUGGGUUCAGUACCAUCAUUGCAUGACAGGCACAGAGCAGCAGCACAUCCCAAAUCCAGUUUUUACUUGUAAAAUAGGAACAUCGGUCAGGGUACUACCCUCAGGCUUACUUUAGUAGUUACUUCUGUUUACAGUGUUGCUGAUCUCAGGCACCUCAUCUAUUUUUGCUGAAACUGCUUAUUUUCUAAAACUGGCAGAUUCUGAACCAGAUGUUACAGGUUUAGAAUUCUUAGAAAAACCUUAAAGAAAAGUAACAAUACAGCACAGCUUAAAGAAUACUCCUCUACCCCACCCCCAAAACAAUGUAGUGAACAAUAUAAAGGAGUGCAACUCAUGGUAGAAUAUCAAAAACCACAGCAUGUGAUUCUUCCCCUGCACAUAAUUAUGAAAAGAAUAUAUCAUUGUAGUAAGAUCUAAAAGCUUGUUGGAACUCAACAGAAAUGAAAACCACAAGUUGAAUAAGCCACAGGUGACAAAGCUGGACCAUUAAACCAGUACAUAAGCCUUGGCAAACAUGCCAGUAUUUCAAGUUUCACGUAUUUCAAGUUUCAAAUCAAACCAUUGCCUCACUUCAUCCAAUAAUUUCAACAAUAAAAACCACUGAACUUCACCAUAUUAGCCUUAUUUGAGUCCCACUUUCCCUUCUAGAAAAGCACCUUGUAUUGUCUGGCAGACAUCAGGAGUGUGUGUGAUCCAUCAGCUUCCUCAGUUCUGAAAAUGUUUAUUUUCCUAAGCAUUAACCAGUUGCACUCCAUUUUUUUAAACAGAGAUUUAGGUCACUUAAUUGAAAAACAUGUUUUAUUCCGCCUUUAAAAAGGUAAUGCAGACUGUUACCUCAGAAAGCAAUAGAAUAAAAACCUUUAUUGUUCCA